UACGUAGGGUGCAAGCGUUGUCCGGAAUUAUUGGGCGUAAAGAGCUCGUAGGCGGUUUGUCGCGUCUGCUGUGAAAACUCGGGGCUUAACUCCGGGCCUGCAGUGGGUACGGGCAGACUAGAGUGCGGUAGGGGAGACUGGAAUUCCUGGUGUAGCGGUGAAAUGCGUAGAUAUCAGGAGGAACACCGGUGGCGAAGGCGGCUCUCUGGAACGGAUACUGACGCUGAGGCGCGAAAGCGUGGGGAGUCA
rnacentral:rRNA from 1 species